AUGAGUGGGAACCUUCAAACUGCAGCAUCACAAACUAUCGCCCAGGACUGUGGAGGGAAAAAAAAGGAGAGAAGAAAAGAAGAAGGGGGAACGGGUUGGAAAAACCACGAAUUGAGGGGCUGGAGCCAGCAGCAGCUGUCGGAGCCGGUGAGUGACACUGGGCGUGGUUCCCCCUUUGCUUACGGCUGCCGAUGCCAUGGGCACGGUGACCACAGUCACAGGCCCCUUGGCCACCAACGUGUCGGGUUCUCCCUGGCAGCAGCCCGGGCUGUGGCACCGCUGCCACCCCUCAGGGCAGACCCGGCCCCCAGAGCGCCCGCUUUUAAAUGCGUCUCUGCCCAAACAGCUGGCGAGCACCGGGCAGCAAAGGCGAGUGCGGAAGGCGAGGGCCGGCAUCGAAAAAAGGGUGUGGGAAUGGGAGGGAAGGGACCAGCAGAGCCCCUCCGCGGUCACGGAGCUCAGUGCCCUGACACUGCCCCGAAGCACAGCCCUGGGCAGCUCCCCCGGGAUGUGCCAGCGAGCACAGGAGCGCCGGGAGGGGCUCCCCGCUCCAGCCAGCGCCAGAACAAGGUUUUGUGGUUAUCCCGCGGUGAGGGGCUGUGGGCGGGAUGCAGCCGCUGUGUCCAGCCCUACCCGGACCAGCAGCUCCCUGCGCCCGGCCCCCGGCCGAGGUCGGUGCGUGGCCGCGGGAGCUCCCCCGACGCUGCACCAGCUCCUCCCUGCACACGCAGAAGCUCCAGACCCCUCCCGCAGCCCCGACUCGCCCCAACCCUUCCCUUUCCCCCGGCUGAGCCCCAUCAAAUCCCCACCCACCCUGGGGCCACUCAGCCGCAGCACCUGUGCCAUUCUCCAAACUCCCUUCUCUCCCCUGCUCUCCCCGCGGUCCGGGGCUGCUGCAGCCCGUGGCACCCAGUGGUGGUGGCCCUGCCACGCUCCCGGCCCCGCGUUGUGCUGCGUGUCCCGGGCACUGCAGUGGGCAGAGCUGAGCCCUCCCGGCGCCUCUCGCCAUGCCGAGCUGCGCCCAGCACAUCGUGCCACCCACAGCUGGGACGACAGAGAGGGGUGUGA
rnacentral:lncRNA from 1 species